rnacentral:rRNA from 1 species
CUACGGGUGGCUCCAGUCGAGAAUAGUCUACAAUGGACGAAAGUCUGAUAGUGCGACGCCGCGUGGAUGAAGAAGCAUUUCGGUGUGUAAAGUCCUUUUCUGUGUGAGCAAUGUUUUCCAGGUUAAUAGCUUGGAGAAAGCGAUAUUAACACAGGAAUAAGCUCCGGCUAACUCCGUGCCAGCAGCCGCGGUAACACGGGGGGAGCAAGCGUUGUCCGGAAUUACUAGGCGUAAAGGGUAUGUAGGCGGAAUUGUAAGUCAGAUGUUAAAGGCACCGGCUCAACCGGUGUAUGGCAUUUGAUACUGUAAUUCUAGAGUAAGGUGGGGGAAGACGGAAUUCCUGGUGUAGCGGUGGAAUGCGCAGAUAUCAGGAGGAACACCAGAGGCGCAGGCGGUCUUCUAUACCAUUACUGACGCUCAAUUACGAAGGUGUGGGUAUCAAACAGGAUUAGAUACCCUUGUAGUC